AUUGAACGCUGGCGGCAGGCCUAACACAUGCAAGUCGAACGAGUGGCGGAAGGGUGAGUACUGUCUGGGAAACUGCCUGAUGGAGGGGGAUAACUGCUGGAAACGGUAGCUAAUACCGCAUACCAUCAGAUGUGCCCAGAUGGGAUUAGCUUGUUGGGGGGGUAACGGCUCACCAAGGCGAAGAUCACUAGCUGGUCUGAGAGGAUGACCAGCCACACUGGAACUGAGACACGGUCCAGACUCCUACGGGAGGCAGCAGUGGGUAAGAUUGCACAAUGGGCGCAAGCCUGAUGCAGCCAUGCCGCGUGUAUGAAGAAGGCCUUCGAGUUGUAAAGUACUUUCAGCGGGGAGGCGUUACCCGCAGAAGAAGCACCGGCUAACUCCGUGCCAGCAGCCGCGGUAAUAC
rnacentral:rRNA from 1 species